UUACAGGUGUGUCUGCAGGGAGGACUUCUUCAGCUCCAGGGCUGGAUGCUUGGCCCCAACCCAGCUCCCAUGGCAGGGGUGAGUAGUGUGUCCCUGCUGACCCCACAGGCUGAGCCCUCCCCUUGUGGGAUCCAUUCCUGGGAAAUGGAACCACUUUCUCUUAAGGUCCUCCAAAAGGAAAGACCCAAGAUACUGCAGCCAAAAAGUCUCAUGAGGCAGAUGAAUUCCUGAGAGAAACACAGAAGGAAGCACCCGGAGGACAAGUGAUGGACCAAAAGGCUGUUCAGGAGGAGGAACAGCCAGGGAGAAGCAGUGGCUCAUUGGCAGCCCUAGCUGCAGGAAGGAAGGCAAUGACAGACACGGGCACAGGCACAGCAGAUGCAGCCGGCACCACAAGACCUGUUCCCAAUGCCCAGGAUGGCCUCAGAAGGGGUUUCUGUCAGGGAACAGGCUGCUGGCUACUGUUACUGGCAAGUGUGCUUUGUUUGGGGCUUGUGUUCAUGUUGUACUGCUUUGGAAUCGGGUAUUCCUGGAAGAGAAAACAGUGAGUGUUUUGUUGCUCUCCCCCUCAAACAACAUGUUUUGGAAGUCUAAUUUGGACGGGGAACAUUCCCAUUGAGGCUGCAGUGGAGUUGUGGCCAGUCCAUGAUUGUCCAAACAACUCUGCUGAGGGUUCGGCUGCUGCCCAGUGCUUCCAUUGGCCUCUCAAUUGCUGGGCCUUGU